rnacentral:lncRNA from 1 species
UUAUCAAAAAAAUAAAUUUAGCAAUAAAUGUAAGGUUGUCGGAUCGUUGGUGCUAACUAUUAAUUCCGAAAAUUUGAGCUGUUAGAAAUACGCAACCAAUUCACUUAAAGCGUGCAAAUACAGCGCCCACGGAUCUCAAUUGUGACUCGGCCCAACCACCCUCACGUCAUUUCGAAUAUGAUUCGAUCCACCCAGCCUCACUCCAUUUCGAAUAUGAUUCGAUCCACCCAACCUCACUCCAUUUCGAACAUGAUUUGGCUCAAUAUGACUUUUCGCCACAGAAAAGCAUGCUGACCCAUUUAAACCAAAACAAAAAGAAGAAGAGAAAUGAAAGAACAAAAAAGAGA